GAACAAAGAUGAAAAUGAGGGCAACAAGUUAGAUUUCUUCAUUAUAGAGUGUGAUCUGUUGAACAGCAUAUUAUUCUUGACUUCCAAUCUAAAACCCACAUUUAUUACACACAUGUACCACAUUCCAUCCAAAGAUAAAAAUCUGAUUUAGAGGAACUCUGGUGUGGGAAUCCUGAUCUUAGAUAUACUGCACCUCAGUUCUGCUGUCUAUAAAACUAAGAUGAUAGUUCAUUUAGUUUUGAAAGGGGAUUGUGAUGAGAGCUACGUAUUCUGGUUUAUCUGCAUUACAGCAAACAUGAUCAGUUUUGACAGAAGUCAAUUACUUAUAGUGCAGUUCUAUUCUGAAAGGGGAUAAAAGUACUGCAGUGAUGUUUGUUUACAGUUUUAAAAAAGGAUUGCAAUGAGAGCUACACAUAAAAAAAAUCUAUCCUGACCUAUCCUGCAUAUAACAUAUACUACUAUUGUGAUAAUGUUUCUUAGUUUGUCAUGAUAAAUUUCACAACAGUUUUCAAAGCUGUAUCUCAACUUUUUUUGGGGGGGAACCCAAUAAAGGUUAUGUGAAAGACAAGUGGGUGAAAUAACUGUGUCAUCUACAAAGAUCAAUAAUUCUGUCAGCACACAGAAACUCCUCUUUAUAUUUGAACAGAUCUUUGUAUGAAAGCGUGUUUAAAUUCACAAAGGGAAUUAAGACUUACUAAUCUAAAAGCAAGAGUUUAAUUUAGGCCAGUUUUACUACUUGAAUUGAAAGCCGUUGAAGAGUGAAGUAUCUACAUAUCCACUUCUGAUCCAGGGUGCAUUUCAGGUUAAGGAUGGAGUGACCUUACAUGGCACAUGUUUCAAACUAUAACUACUGUUGUGAGGUCCAGACAUAAUACUGCAUCAUCUAUGACCUUCAAUUUCAGAUGGAAGAAAAAAAAUGGAACUCUCAGACAGUGGAGAGUAACAUUUUUCAAGGCUGACUACUGGAUUCAAUACUAAACAUCUCCGAGUUAUUUUGCAACAACAUUCAGCGUACAAUCUGCCUGCUCUGUGUCACAUUACAGCCUAAGUUUUGAGCAUUACAUGACCACAAGAAAAAAACAAAAAUAAAUACCUUAACCUUAGUUCCCCUCCUAUUCAAAAACAAAGCUUGUUUCUCCUUUGCCCAUUCAAUAUAUUAAUUAGAUAUAAGGACCUUUCAAAGCCAUUUUUUUCCUGGUUGCUACAGACUUAUGGAAACAAGUACAUCCUUCUCAUAAGAAUAAUACAUGUUGCGUAUAUUCCUACUCAGCUAUAGGAACUUAUCAAAGUUACAUUUAUGGGGACAAGAAAAACUUUUUUGUACUAUCAAGCACAGCACCCUGACUUGCUAACUAACAUUUGUAACGAUGUCACUACUUUCCCAUUCUUCCACUUCUUUAUGUAAUAAUGAAACUGGAUCUAUGAACACAUAGAUACUGAUGGCUCUGAAUGAUAUUUUUCCAUCUUCAGCUGCCCCAAAAUAUUGAAAUAACACAAAACAACCCUGUGCUUCUGAAGUGAAUGGUCAAUGAAAUAAUGAGAAUAAGCAUAUAAAGAAAAUGGGAGAACUAUAUAAAAUUUUAGAAAGCGGAGAUAGCUGGCCUGAGACUGGCAUAAGGACAGUGAGUCCACAAAAGCUGGAUUUGAUUAAAAAAUUAUGCUGUUUUUAUUGUGGCAUUCUAUACUAGCCAGGAAUUAACACGAAACUCUGAAAGCUGCACAGUGUUACAACUGCCAUAGACGGACAUCUGUUUGACUUACUCACCCCAAUCUGGGAACAAGCUGCCCAGAAGUAUCCAGUGGCAAGAACAAGAAGAGAAAUUUCCCAAGGCCUGUUCAUGAGAUCACUAACGACACAGUCAGGUCAGGCUACCAGAUCUGGCCAUGUAUAUGGUUUAACCACGACCAGUGCAAGGGUAAGGGAUUCAAGGACACGGGUCAUGAACAUGCCUAACAGAAUUUUCUGACUGGGCAGAGAAAUAAAUCCCAAAGAAAAGCAAAUGAGAUGUAUUCUAUGAGAAGUUAAUGGCAAAAAUAAAUAUAUUUCACACAAUAACAAAAGGUUAGAAAGUUUUAAGACUUAAGUUUACCGUUGCAGUAAGAGAGGCUUUGCAGAGGAACAGAGGCAAAGGCUCACCAAAAAUUAAAAGAAAUACUGCUAUAAUUUUGGAGAAAAGAGGUCAAAAGGCACAGUAAAGCUGUAACAAGCACACACACACACACACAAAAGACAUAAGAAAACCAUGAAACUACUCUCCAGAAGGAAGCAUUCACAUGAAACCACAGUUCUGACAUAAGCGGUUUCUACACUCUAGAAUAGGAAUAAGCUCUGAAAAUUAAUGAAAGGAAAAGUUAAGAAGGAGUUAAGGGAAAGCAUCAUGUUGCUUUUUUCCUGGGAGCUACCAACAAUAGACCACAUAGAAAUGAGAAUGAAGCUCUUUCUGAGCAACCAUACAAGAUGCCAGUAACCAGUGGGGGACUUCACCCACCCAUCGGCGAGGAACACCACACCCUACAACCAAGAGAAUCUUUGUACUCCACAGAUUUAGAGGAAGCUGUUAGAAGAAUGGACUGAAGGGAGAAACUUACCAAAAUUGUACUGAGAUUCUAAAGAUGAAAAAUAAUAUGUUAAAGUGACCACAAAAUCCAUAGUCUACAAAAAGAUUCUAACAAUGAAACUUUCUGGUAGAGCACAUUGAUUUUUAUGCACUGAAAAACCAUUGACUUCUUUUCUUGCCACAUGAACUGAAAUGUAUCUAACACGUGACCAAAAUACCAGCAAUUCAUGUGCCCUGGUAGGUACACAUCCAGGAAAAUAACAAGAAGAUCUGUACUCUGAUCAGCUGAGAGAUAUAUAUCAACUAGAUAUGACAGAAUAUGUAUGCAUUCACCGUAUGAUUACAGAGGUCCAUUUCAGUUCAUGCCAUAUGAUGUGAAGGUAACACAAAACUUACAGAAUAUGUACUGCGAAAUAUAACAACAGAAAUGGAACUGCCAUGAGAAAAUGGGCAACAAGUACUAUUCAGCCAUACUGCAGCCUACUUCCAAUUUUUGUCCAAAGAAUAUCAAGAAUUAGGACAUGAUGAAUUGCUCUGCUGAACUGGAUUUGGCAUACUGUCCAGUUUCUCAUCACCUGUUCUAAGGAAAAAAGAAUAUGAGGAAUGGUAUAAACUAACAGAAUUUAUAUUUUUAUGAAAUAACCUUAGGGAACAGACAGGCAUGACUCUUCGGCUCUAAGAGAUGGAAGAAACCAGAGUUGGAAGUCACUGGAAGGCACCAGACUCAACGCACAACAGCAAUUCAGAGGUAAGAGAGUGUAUAAGACCGAAAUUAAUCUGCAGGGAGGCAGAAGGUAAGGUAAUUUAAAAGACAAAGAUAAGAUAAAGAUUUUCAAGUCAGCAGACACUUGUGAAAUCCACCCUUGAUGCCUGAAGAGCUGACAGAAGCAGUGCCUUUAGAAUGCAGAAGGGACGUGAGAGGCAGACAAGUACAUAUCUUAAAACAGGAAAGGAGGACUGAGGGAAGCAAAAACUAGUCAUCUUAACUUCAGCCUCUGGAAAGAUUUUACAGCAAGUUGUUGAGCAAUCAACUUGUAAACAGCUAGAUGGGAAGCUGAUAAGAAGUAAACUAAUCCGGGUUGUUUAGGAAUGGAAUGCAAGAAAACCCACCUCUUACAGAACGACUGCCUUUGAGUAUACAAGAAACAGCAGGAGUGAUACAAAUUUGACGUUUGUCCUUAGAUAAGCCUAAGAAAACACGACAGAGCUAUGACAGCCAGAAGGGGACACAGCUGCGAAGAACCGCUGUGGAAAGCGUAAUCCCUUAAGGAGAAAACCGAACAAACGGAAAACCUGAAUGAGUUGCUGAUGUGAUUAAGUGCGUUCUGCGCCGCUCUCGGGACAGCAGGGUAACGCGGAGCCCGGGGACAGCUGCGGUGAGCGGCCCGCGCCGGCCGGGCGGACACUGACGCUGUGGGGGCUCGGGCCCGGAGCGGCGGCUGCGGGGCGGCCGUCUGCCUCAGACAGUGUUUUCAGCUCCCAGACUGAGGACUGGUUCUGUGCUCCAUAGAAAUCAAUGGAAAAGUGAAGUCCACUGACAGAUAUCUCAGAAAUGAGCUGGACCCUUCCCUGAAUCGUAUAGGAUGUGAGGGAAUGACUUGAUGCCGUGUCAGGGGAAGUUCAGAUUGGAUAUUAGGAAAAAGUUCUACACUGGAAGAAGGCUUCCCAGAGAGGCAGUCAUGGACCCAAGCCUGUCCAUGUUCAAGAAGCAUUUGGACUAUGCUCUUAAAUAUAUGUGGACAGUGAUCUUCAGUAUUUGGUUUAACUCUUACACUGUCUCAAGAGACAGCAGUUGGACUGCAUGAUCCUCAUGGGUCCCUUCCAACUCAGGAGAUUCUUUGAUUCUGUGAAAACGAAAACCAAGAAUGGUCCAUGGUCCUUGGUCCUUGGACCAUUGUACUUUUCUCUUUUUUGUUUUGUUUUUAAUGUGAUCCUUUUGCUGUCUGUGUGCAAAUCUAUCUGGCUUUAGCCUUUGCGCAUAGUGGCAAGCAAGAAAACUUUUUGAGUUGUGGUCAUCUACCAGCCUAAUUAAACAGAUACCACUAAGUUGAUAUGUAGUACAUUUAAGCAUGAUGACAAUUUGGAGAGCUUCACUUGAUCCUAUAUUUUCUUUCAUGUUUUUGAGGUCUUACAGUUUGAGUAUUCAUGUUUAAACCUGGAACCAAAACAGCUACAGCCUCCCUUCCUGAUCCAUACAAACAGGAGAAGCAUUAAGAGGUCCCCAUUUUGCCUCAAGUUUUGCCUGAGGAAAAGGUAUUUAUAUACCUUUCAUAUAUGCUAAACUCAUUACAAAAUUGGACCACGUCUAUUCAGUAAAAUUAUGAAAUUAGAUUAGAUAGCUCUCUUGGAUUAUAUACAAAGAUCUAUAGACAAUAUAAUAUUUAGAUGUCUUCUUAAAGGACUGUCUUUAAGCUAUUAAAAAAAGUAGAUUAUGUUUUCUUAGCAGGUGUUUUGCUUUCUUUAGGAGAGUCCAGGGAAGCAGUAUUAUUUCUUUCUUCCCUUAAGGGAUGGAACAUAACAAAGGAGUUUCCAGCUUGCAAAUGGAGACAGAUAUUCUGGUUCUUCCUCUUGGCAAAGGGAAAACAAAGCCCCAGGGUUUUCCCCAUGGAAAACAAGUGAAAACAAACACACAAAAAUUUGCUUCCUAUCAGGGCAACAAACCCAAAUACAAUAAUUUCUGGCAUACUAGCCUCAAUACAGCCAAUUUUGUACCUUAGCAGAAAAAUGCAGAUUUUCCAGAUGGGAACAUUCAGGCUAACUAAUUUUUUUCUUAUGCCUGCCAACAAUCACUUGCAAAAUAAAAAUUAUACCUCUUAAACAUUCUUUAAAAAGACAAAGUGAAUCUGAGAAAUUUAGAAAACGGACUUCUUCUCUUUUUUUGUAGAGACAUCAUAUAUUAUUGUAUUCCAAUUUUUAAAUUAAUUUGAUGAUGUUUUUUUAUAAAUGUACUCUUUUUAAGAAGUUCUAAACACUAGCUAAACAAAGAAUAAGAAAUAAUGGUAAAUGCCUCAACUAAAAUAUCAUCCCUUUGCUCUUUGUAUUUCAUCAGUUUGUGAGGUCCCCUGUUCACCAAAAUUCCAGGUAUCACCGCUCCUGUCAGGCCACAUGGAUUCUGAAUUACCACAGGCAAGGAAAGAAAGACAAACUGAAAUAAAUAAAUAAAGACAUUUAGAUAAUUUUUUGAGGUAGAGGAGAGAGA